GACUGGUCUGAAGGUAGUGAGUUAUCUCGAUUGUUCCCAGUCAGUUACAGAUUGAACUCUUUGUUCUACCCUUUUCUCUCUUCUAACUACUGUACUUGACAAGUCUUAA
rnacentral:Y_RNA from 1 species